rnacentral:rRNA from 1 species
CCCUUAGACGUUCUGGGCCGCACGCGCGCUACACUGACGGAGCCAGCGAGUAUAAACCUUGGCCGAGAGGUCUGGGAAAUCUUGUGAAACUCCGUCGUGCUGGGGAUAGAGCAUUGUAAUUAUUGCUCUUCAACGAGGAAUUCCUAGUAAGCGCAAGUCAUCAGCUUGCGUUGAUUACGUCCCUGCCCUUUGUACACACCGCCCGUCGCUCCUACCGAUUGGGUGUGCUGGUGAAAUGUUCGGAUCGGCCGUUUGUCGCGGUUUCCGCGUCAUGUGGCUGAGAAGUUCAUUAAACCCUCCCACCUAGAGGAAGGAGAAGUCGUAACA